UACGUAGGUGGCAAGCGUUGUCCGGAAUUAUUGGGCGUAAAGAGCUCGUAGGUGGUUGGUCGCGUCUGCUGUGGAAACGCAACGCUUAACGUUGCGCGGGCAGUGGGUACGGGCUGACUAGAGUGCAGUAGGGGAGUCUGGAAUUCCUGGUGUAGCGGUGAAAUGCGCAGAUAUCAGGAGGAACACCGGUGGCGAAGGCGGGACUCUGGGCUGUAACUGACACUGAAGCUCGAAAGCGUGGGGAGCAAACAGG
rnacentral:rRNA from 1 species